UGAGGAAUAUUGGUCAAUGGGCGAGAGCCUGAACCAGCCAAGUAGCGUGCAGGAUGACGGCCCUACGGGUUGUAAACUGCUUUUGCGGGAGAAUAAAGUCGGCCACGCGUGGCCAUUUGCAGGUAUCCCGUGAAUAAGGACCGGCUAAUUCCGUGCCAGCAGCCGCGGUAAUACGGAAGGUCCGGGCGUUAUCCGGAUUUAUUGGGUUUAAAGGGUGCGCAGGCGGGCGUCUAAGUCAGCGGUGAAAGUUCCCGGCUCAACCGGGUCAGUGCCGAUGAUACUGGGGGCCUUGAAUGCGGUCGAGGCCGGCGGAAUGUGGCGUGUAGCGGUGAAAUGCAUAGAUAUGCCACAGAACACCGAUAGCGAAGGCAGCUGGCCGGGCCUGCAUUGACGCUGAGGCACGAAAGCGUGGGGAUCGAACAGGAUUAGAUACCCUGGUAGU
rnacentral:rRNA from 1 species